rnacentral:rRNA from 1 species
UACGUAGGGUCCGAGCGUUGUCCGGAAUUACUGGGCGUAAAGAGCUCGUAGGUGGUUUGUCGCGUUGUUCGUGAAAACUCACAGCUUAACUGUGGGCGUGCGGGCGAUACGGGCAGACUUGAGUACUGCAGGGGAGACUGGAAUUCCUGGUGUAGCGGUGGAAUGCGCAGAUAUCGGGAGGAACAUCGGUGGCGAAGGCGGUUCUCUGGGCCUUACCUGACGCUGAGGCGCGAAAGCUAGGGGAGCAAACAGG